rnacentral:lncRNA from 1 species
AACCAUUGAACUAUAAAUAAACUGGAAGGCUAACUGCUAUGAUGAAAGCCUAUGAUUUGAUGAAGCCAAAAUAGUUUUUCUGAGUUAUGAGCAGAAAUACUUGACCCCAAACGUCGGGCUAUAUAUCAAAUUGAAGCUAUUGAAAAUUGCUAUUCGGUGUGGAAAUUUCAAGACUUCAGCGAAAAUAAAAAUCUUUAAAAAAUACAAAAACAACUGCAAAACGGCAAAUUAUCGGUAAUUAUGUUUGUAGUUUUUCAAUAUUUCCCUUUUAGCUAAAGUCUUGAAAUUUC